UUGGGAUUCUCUCUCUCUCUCUCUCUCUCUCUCUCUGACCCUCCCCUGCUUGUGCUCACUCUCUCUCAAAAUAAAUAAAUAAGCUUAGAAAAAAUUAGAGCCAAAAGGUGCAUUAAGUUGAUGUAAUAUUCAGCUAAAGAGAAAAUCGAUGAGCUAGGAGAUAAUUUUAAAGGAAUGUAACAAAGACAGGAAAAAUAUAAUGUGACGAGCGACAAGGAGUGUAGGGGGAGGCGGGCUCAUACACCCGCAACUGGAGGGAGAGAAACAGGGGAGGAAGGUCAUGCUGAUGAGGACAAGAGCCGAGAACUUCCCUGAACCUGUAACAGGGCUGCUGGAUCAGAUGGACGGCGCCCCGUGACGUUUGACGAUGACUACUAAUGAUUUCUAGAGUAAGUGUGCCCACAUGCGUGUUGCACAGAACAUACACCAGCCAUUCAUUGCUUUCCUGAAAUUCAGAUUUAACAGGGCCUCCUGCUACGUCAGCAGCCCUGCUCACGGAAGACGGGAGUCAUUCAAGCAGAGAUGCACGCCGUCCCCAACGCACUGAAUGCAAGCCCAUCUGCAACCGGACCGGUCGUAACGAGCCAGGAGACACAACAUUUCCUGAAAGCGGCAAGAAAGAAAAGAAUCACCUUCAAGGGAAGAAGUUAGGUGGAGGCCAGACCUUCCAACAGAUGCUACAGGAGGCAGAAAGGAAGCUUCAGCAUGCAGAAAAAUUCGUCUUUAUCCUUUUGCUCAAAAUUCUCCAGUGAUUUCUCUCCGCAUGAACGUCCAGGUUCUUACCGUGUCUCCCCACACAAGGGCGAGCAUUCUUGGUACUAAUCACGCCCACAGAAGAACAGCCAUGUAAUGUAAUGUAAUGUAACGUAAGGAGGUGCCCUACAGCCACGUCUCAGGGAGACACCCGUGAAAAGGUCCAAUUUUCCGAUCCAACCCCCAGCCUUUGUUGGGUCCACCUGGGCUCGGCCCACAGCAGCUUGGGGUGACGCCAGCCCCGUCAUCAGGAGGCAGCCUGCUCACUGCGGUAGGCCGUCCCAAGUGCACGGUCUUCCGGAAGACACCGAAGCCCAGGAUCAGGGCUCUGUUUGUUUCAACCAAGAAGGCAGGAGCUCUGGAAGACGGAAACAGCAGUAGUGACCACAGCAGACGGGGAGGACGCUGGGAAUCCGAUCUACUCUCCACUCUCUCAAAAUUUCACUCCAGAGCAAAUAAGCAAGGAAAAGACUUCAGCACAUCCACUGAUGAAGGGAUAGACCCAAGGGAUAGACCCAAGGCAAGAGGGACAAGGGGGUGGUGGCUACUUGGGAGAACGGGGUGCCUGGGGGCACCUGGGGACGAACGGGUGCACGAGGCUUCGAGGAGGAGAAAGCCAGCUGCCUCGUCUUGUGCCCACAGCCUUUGAGGUGUCCUAAGAUUGAGUGACUGAUGCAUCCAUACAUACGUAUUCAAGAAAAUAUUCUUCUCAUAGACCUACCUGCUGAGAUGGGGAGAUAAGGGAUUGAAAUGACAUGGGUUUUUUUCCUCCCUGAAAGCCCCAGGUAACAACUCCAGUAAGAAAAACACACUGACGUGAAUUCAAGUUGUCCCUGCAAGUUGCGUUACCUGUUGUUCAUUUACUGGAACGUUCCAUCUGCUUAUAAGAGCACGGCUCCACCUUCAUAUAGACCAGAGUUAACACACUGUCUCCCUCUCUCUCAGCCCCUCCCCUGUUCUCGCUCUCCCUCAAAAUAAGUAAAUAAGCUUAAACAAAAAUGAAAAAUGUUUUUCCUGUUGGAAA